AGUAUUGUGGCUUAGUUGGUUAAAGCGCCGGUCUAGCGAAUACGGAGUCGUGGGUUCGAAUCAUACCAACGCGA
rnacentral:tRNA from 1 species